rfam:Cavia porcellus supercont2_4 genomic scaffold, whole genome shotgun sequence.
GGAUUUAGCUCAGUGGCAUAAGCACCUGCCUUGCAAGCAGGCAGUCAAGAGUUCGAUCCCUCUUUCCG